GAGCCUGCAACGAUUACGCGACUGUAUGCAAUCCUCGACAAGCAGACCAACGAGGAGA
rnacentral:rRNA from 1 species